GCGCGAAAACUUCGCACUGUGCGAAAGCACGACGAGGGAAUCCCAAGUGCUGGCUCGUAAGAGUCAGCUGUUUCUCUGUCUAAAAAAUAGAGAGAGUAAGGGCUGGGUAAGACGGGUGCCAGCCGCCGCGGUAAUACCUGCAGCUCAAGUGGUGACCGCUAUUAUUGGGCCUAAAACGUCCGUAGCCGGUUCUAUAAAUGCCUGGGUAAAUCGUACGGCUUAACCGUACGAAUUCCGGGUAGACUGUUCAACUUGGGACCGGGAGAGGCUAGAGGUACUCCUGGGGUAGAGGUGAAAUUCUGUAAUCCUAGGGGGACCACCAGUGGCGAAGGCGUCUAGCUAGAACGGGUCUGACGGUGAGGGACGAAGCCCUGGGGAGCAAACGGG
rnacentral:rRNA from 1 species